rnacentral:misc_RNA from 1 species
UAGUCGUAACAAGGUAGCCGUAGGGGAACCUGCGGUUGGAUCACCUCCUUACCUUAAAGAACCUGCCUUUGUAGUGUCCACACAGAUUGUUUGAUAAAUAAUAAAUUUCAAAAUGUACUGCGAAGUGCAUUGUGAAAUUUUGCUCUUUAAAAAUCUGGAUCAAGCUGAAAAUUGAAACGACACACAGUUAAUGUGUGUUCGAGUCUCUCAAAUUUUCGCAAUCAGAAGUGAAACAUCUUCGGGUUGUGAGGUUAAGCGACUAAGCGUACACGGUGGAUGCCUUGGCAC